ACUACGGGUGGCAGCAGUGAGGAAUAUUGGUCAAUGGGCGAGAGCCUGAACCAGCCAAGUCGCGUGAGGGAGUACUGCCCUAUGGGUUGUAAACCUCUUUUGUCGGGGAGCAAAAGCCGGACGUGUCCGGCUGUGAGAGUACCCGAAGAAAAAGCAUCGGCUAACUCCGUGCCAGCAGCCGCGGUAAUACGGAGGAUGCGAGCGUUAUCCGGAUUUAUUGGGGUUAAAGGGUGCGCAGGCGGAUUUUUAAGUCAGCGGUCAAAUCGUGGGGCUAAACCCCAUCCAGCCGUUGAAACUGGGGAUCUAGAGUGUGCGAGAGGUAUGCGGAAGGCGUGGUGUAGCGGUGAAAUGCAUAGAUAUCACGCAGAACCCCGAUUGCGAAGGCAGCAUACCGGUGCACAACUGACGCUCAGGCACGAAAGCGUGGGUAUCGAACAGGAUUAGAUACCCUUGUAGUC
rnacentral:rRNA from 1 species